GCGUAAGCGCACGCAGGCGGUCUGUCAAGUCGGAUGUGAAAUCCCCGGGCUCAACCUGGGAACUGCAUUCGAAACUGGCAGGCUAGAGUCUUGUAGAGGGGGGUAGAAUUCCAGGUGUAGCGGUGAAAUGCGUAGAGAUCUGGAGGAAUACCGGUGGCGAAGGCGGCCCCCUGGACAAAGACUGACGCUCAGGUGCGAAAGCGUGGGGAGCAAACAGGAUUAGAUACCCUGGUAGUCCACGCCGUAAACGAUGUCGACUUGGAGGUUGUGCCCUUGAGGCGUGGCUUCCGGAGCUAACGCGUUAAGUCGACCGCCUGGGGAGUACGGCCGCAAGGUUAAAACUCAAAUGAAUUGACGGGGGCCCGCACAAGCGGUGGAGCAUGUGGUUUAAUUCGAUGCAACGCGAAGAACCUUACCUACUCUUGACAUCCAGAGAACUUAGCAGAGAUGCUUUGGUGCCUUCGGGAACUCUGAGACAGGUGCUGCAUGGCUGUCGUCAGCUCGUGUUGUGAAAUGUUGGGUUAAGUCCCGCAACGAGCGCAACCCUUAUCCUUUGUUGCCAGCGGUUAGGCCGGGAACUCAAAGGAGACUGCCAGUGAUAAACUGGA
rnacentral:rRNA from 1 species